AGAGUUUGAUCCUGGCUCAGAUUGAACGCUGGCGGCAUGCCUUACACAUGCAAGUCGAACGGCAGCACGGGAGCAAUCCUGGUGGCGAGUGGCGAACGGGUGAGUAAUAUAUCGGAACGUGCCCAGUCGUGGGGGAUAACGCAGCGAAAGCUGUGCUAAUACCGCAUACGAUCUACGGAUGAAAGCGGGGGAUCGCAAGACCUCGCGCGAUUGGAGUGGCCGAUAUCAGAUUAGCUAGUUGGUGGGGUAAAAGCCCACCAAGGCGACGAUCUGUAGCUGGUCUGAGAGGACGACCAGCCACACUGGAACUGAGACACGGUCCAGACUCCUACGGGAGGCAGCAGUGGGGAAUUUUGGACAAUGGGCGCAAGCCUGAUCCAGCAAUGCCGCGUGCAGGAUGAAGGCCUUCGGGUUGUAAACUGCUUUUGUACGGAGCGAAACGGCUUCCCCUAAUACGGGGAGCUAAUGACGGUACCGUAAGAAUAAGCACCGGCUAACUACGUGCCAGCAGCCGCGGUAAUACGUAGGGUGCAAGCGUUAAUCGGAAUUACUGGGCGUAAAGCGUGCGCAGGCGGUUAUAUAAGACAGAUGUGAAAUCCCCGGGCUCAACCUGGGACCUGCAUUUGUGACUGUAUAGCUAGAGUACGGUAGAGGGGGAUGGAAUUCCGCGUGUAGCAGUGAAAUGCGUAGAUAUGCGGAGGAACACCGAUGGCGAAGGCAAUCCCCUGGACCUGUACUGACGCUCAUGCACG
rnacentral:rRNA from 1 species